CACGUAGGGCGCAAGCGUUGUCCGGAAUUAUUGGGCGUAAAGAGCUCGUAGGCGGUCUGUUGCGUCCGCUGUGAAAACUCGGGGCUUAACCCCGAGCCUGCAGUGGAUACGGGCAGACUAGAGGUAGGUAGGGGAGAAUGGAAUUCCCGGUGUAGCGGUGAAAUGCGCAGAUAUCGGGAGGAACACCGGUGGCGAAGGCGGGUCUCUGGGCCGAAAUUGACGCUGAGGGGCGAAAGCGUGGGGAGCAAACAGG
rnacentral:rRNA from 1 species